rnacentral:rRNA from 1 species
AGUGAACGCUGGCGGUAGGCCUAACACAUGCAUGUCGAACGGCAGCACAGUGAGAGCUUGCUCUUACGGGUGGCGAGUGGCGGACGGGUGAGGAAUACAUCGGAAUCUACUUUUUCGUGGGGGAUAACGUAGGGAAACUUACGCUAAUACCGCAUACGACCUACGGGUGAAAGCAGGGGAUCUUCGGACCUUGCGCGAUUGAAUGAGCCGAUGUCGGAUUAGCUAGUUGGCGGGGUAAGGGCCCACCAAGGCGACGAUCCGUAGCUGGUCUGAGAGGAUGAUCAGCCACACUGGAACUGAGGCACGGUCCAGACUCCUACGGGAGGCAGCAGUGGGGAAUAUUGGACAAUGGGCGCAAGCCUGAUCCAGCCAUACCGCGUGGGUGAAGAAGGCCUUCGGGUUGUAAAGCCCUUUUGUUGGGAAAGAAAAGCAGCAGGUUAAUACCCCGCUGUUCUGACGGUACCCAAAGAAUAAGCACCGGCUAACUUCGUG